CAAUUUCUCAAUAUCAGCUCAACUCCCUCCCUUUGCAUCAGAAAUCGCCGCCGCCGCCGUUAAAGGAUCGGCGAGCGGUCGGUUCUAGCCUUCGUCUCCAGCGAAGCAGGCCUGUUGCCGCCUCUGAGGCCGGCGCCGUCCCCUUCGUCUCCAGUCUCUCUUACUGAAACUCACCACGAAAUCCAGCCCUAGCUUCUCUCUGAACUCAGAUGGGAUGCCGCCGCAGCGGCCCUUCUCCGGCGAGACUGGCGUCCCGGCUGUUAGCGCCGCCAGCACACCUUCACCCCUAAAUCAAAAUUGAGCCCUAACUCUCCUUUUGGUUUAGGCGGGUUCGCCACCGCCGUUGCUAAAGGACCGGCUAGGCGGCGGUCCUCUCCUUCUCUCCCUUGUUCUCGAAAAUAGAUUCACGCUCAAACCGUAGCCUUUUCUCAUCUCUCGGAAUUUAUCGCCGCCUCUGGCGGACGCCACCGCCCCUGAGCUUUUGACGAGGCUAUAGACGUCCUCCCCUCCUCAGUUCUUUCCGCUUUCGAACUCAAGGGAUGGGUCUUCUUUCGCCGUCUUCUGGGUUCCGGCAGAGAAGGGUAGGCCGUCGCUGCUGUCCUCCUCGGAGUCGACGGGCCUGACUCUUCACCUCGCCGUUGCUGCUUUACUCAUAUUCCGGCGAGGCAGCAAGGGCUCGUCGUCGUUCCCUCGGUUCGACUGAACAGGAGAAACUUAGGAGGAAACUGGAGAGGAUCAGGUCAAUCUUACCUCUCGAAUCUUGCAGCAACUAUGACAACUUCCUCAAGUUGUUGAUGCGUAAAGAGAGAAGGAUUUGGUGGGUGAUAUUAUAAGGAGUGAAGUUGGUGGCUGUUACUCUCAUGGGUUUGAAAGAUGGUGUAGGCAGCAUAGGGUAUGGUGGAAUGACCACCUACUUGUACUAUGGUAUGGUCUUGGUUACAGGGGAAGGAAAGAAAAAAAGAGCUGCUACUUGCUUUUGUAUUAUGCAGAUUUUUCUUUUGAUUUUGUGUACAUACAUCAGUAUGGCUUAGCUGCAAAAGUGGCGUUGUAGAGGGAGGAAAGCAUGGCUUUUGGUUGCUACAAAAUCUUCUAUCUUGAUUGUGUAUACUAUGUUGAUAGUGUAGGAGACCCUAGGGAGUGGAAAGAAUAAUGAUGAUUGUAAAGUAAAUAGAAUUGAGAUGACUAAUAAAAAAAAUCAUCUAGCUUGAUUAAUAUUAAUUAAUCAAGUAUUAGUAAAAC